rnacentral:ncRNA from 1 species
GUUGAGCUUGACUCUAGUUUGACAUUGUGAAAAGACAUAGGGGGUGUAGAAUAGGUGGGAGAGCAAUCGCCGGUGAAAUACCACUACCCUUAUCGUUUUUUUACUUAUUCAAUGAAGCGGAACUGGGUUUUACCGCCCAAUUUCUAGCGUUAAGGUCGUUUACCGGCCGAUCCGGGUUGAAGACAUUGUCAGGCGGGGAGUUUGGCUGGGGCGGCACAUCUGUUAAACCAUAACGCAGGUGUCCUAAGGGGGACUCAUGGAGAACAGAAAUCUCCAGUAGAACAAAAGGGUAAAAGUCCCCUUGAUUUUGAUUUUCAGUGUGAAUACAAACCAUGAAAGUGUGGC